rnacentral:rRNA from 1 species
UACGAAGGGAGCUAGCGUUGUUCGGAAUCACUGGGCGUAAAGCGCACGUAGGCGGAUUUGUCAGUCAGGGGUGAAAUCCCGGGGCUCAACCUCGGAACUGCCUCUGAUACAGCAAGUCUUGAGUCCGGAAGAGGUGGGUGGAAUUCCUAGUGUAGAGGUGAAAUUCGUAGAUAUUAGGAAGAACACCGGUGGCGAAGGCGGCCCACUGGUCCGGUACUGACGCUGAGGUGCAAAAGCGUGGGGGGCAAACAGG